AACGAACGCUGGCGGCAGGCCUAACACAUGCAAGUCGAGCGCAUCCUUCGGGGUGAGCGGCAGACGGGGGAGUCACGCGUCGGAAUCUACCUUUUGCUACGGAAUAGCUCCGUGAAACUGGAAUUAAUACCGUAUGUGUCCUUAGGGUGAAAGAUUUAUCGGCAAGAGAUGAGCCCGCGUUGGAUUAGCCAGUUGGUGGGGUAAAGGCCUACCAAGGCGACGCUCCAUAGCUGGUCUGAGAGGAUGAUCAGCCACAUUGGGACGAGGACACGGCCCAAACUACUACAGGAGGCAGCAGUGGGGAAUAUUGCAAUAUGGGCGGAAGCCUGAACCAGCCAGGCCGCGUGAGUGAUGAAGGCCUUAGGGUUGUAAAGCUCUUUCACCGGAGAAGAUAAUGACGGUAUCCGGAGAAGAAGCCCCGGCUAACUUCGUG
rnacentral:rRNA from 1 species